AGAAUGCUAAGGAGCUGAAGCUGAGACCUAAAAGCUAAGCAGGAGUGUUCUGGGCAGAGGGAAUGGUAUGUGCAAAGGCUCUACAGAGCACUCUGCAUAUAGAAGUCUGACUCAAAGUGCUUCUGUGUAAUUGGAAUGUACAGUUCACAGCACAUACAUAGCUGAUGGAGCGGUUUGUGGGAGGAUUCCUUUGCCUUACAGUUGUUCAUUGGCAUGGGACUGAAGCCUUGGCAUUGAGUGCCACACUUCUUGCAAUGAGGUAGGAACCUGUCAAAGCUUGGAAGGCCAUCUUAAAGAACCCCACCUUUUCUUGAAGAAAAUCUUCACACUGUUUUGAACACAUUGAGUUUCUGUGAUGGCCUGGUUGGCCUGCUCUGUGACUUCAGUUGCACAUUUUAUGAAACAAAUUGCCAUGUGGGAGACAACCACAUGCCAAGGAACUGAGGGUGGCUGUGGGCCAAUAGCCAACAAGGAACUGAGGGCCUCAAUGAACUGGAUCCUACCAACCGUCAUGUGAGUGAGUACAGAAGCAGAUCCUUCCCCAGUGGAGCCUUCAG
rnacentral:lncRNA from 1 species